rnacentral:tRNA from 1 species
GCGCCUAUAGUUCAACUGGAUAGAAUUCAGCCCUCCGAAGGCUGAGGUUGCAGGUUCAAGUCCUGCUAGGCGCGCCA